AUUGAACGCUGGCGGCAGGCCUAACACAUGCAAGUCGAGCGGCAGCGGGAAAGUAGCUUGCUACUUUUGCCGGCGAGCGGCGGACGGGUGAGUAAUGCCUGGGGAUCUGCCCAGUCGAGGGGGAUAACUACUGGAAACGGUAGCUAAUACCGCAUACGCCCUACGGGGGAAAGCAGGGGACCUUCGGGCCUCGCGCGACUGGAUGAACCCAGGUGGGAUUAGCUAGUUGGUGAGGUAAUGGCUCACCAAGGCGACGAUCCCUAGCUGGUCUGAGAGGAUGAUCAGCCACACUGGAACUGAGACACGGUCCAGACUCCUACGGGAGGCAGCAGUGGGGAAUAUUGCACAAUGGGGGAAACCCUGAUGCAGCCAUGCCGCGUGUGUGAAGAAGGCCUUCGGGUUGUAAAGUACUUUCAGCGGGGAGGAAGGCGGUGAAGUUAACAGCUUCACCGAUUGACGUUACCCGCAGAAGAAGCACCGGCUAACUCCGUGCCAGCAGCCGCAGUAAUAC
rnacentral:rRNA from 1 species